AAGAUCCUUCCGUGGCACUUAUGAGAAGCCUCUGUGGCCCCGCAAGGGGUACCGCCCGCGACUAUAAACAAGUGGAGCUGGUAUUAAAUCGCAAGUCAGCAAACGCUGGCUACACUUUCGAAUUGCGGGGACACCCUAAAGCCCACCUCUACCAACCGAUCCAGGAAACUGGCACGGGGCCUCUGUUAACAGCACAGGGAAUGGUAAAAACGAGGUCGGAUAAUGCAAACCAGUUUGCAACAUGGGCAAUCCGCAGCCAAGUCCCUAAGGCGUCAGCUAUGGGAAAGGUUCACAGACUAAGUGGAAGUGGGCUGGUUGGUUAAAUGCCACCCAGCUUAAGAUAUAGUCGGGCUGUCUGCGAAAGCAGAUGGGAUAUGUCACACGAGUAGACUGUCCUAGUCCUAUCUUUAGGAUUUAACUCCUACUUGACGCUCAACUGUUCCGUAGGUGAACCUGCGGAAGGAUCAUUA
rnacentral:ncRNA from 2 species